AUUGAACGCUGGCGGCAUGCCUUACACAUGCAAGUCGAACGGCAGCACGGGUUCUUUCACCUGGUGGCGAGUGGCGCACGGGUGAGUAAUACAUCGGAACAUGUCCUGUUGUGGGGGAUAGCCCGGCGAAAGCCGGAUUAAUACCGCAUACUAUCUACGUAUGAAAGCGGGUUUCCUUCUGGCCUCGCCCUUUACUGUUGUCCGAUAUCUGAUUAGCUAGUUGUUGGGGUAAAGGCCUACAAAGGCGACGAUCAGUAGCUGGUCUUAGAGGACGACCAGCAAAACUGGGAAUGAGAAACGGCCCAGACUCCUACGGGAGGAAGAAGUGGGGAAUUUUGGAAAAUGGGCGAAAGCCUGAUCAAGCAAUGCGGCGUGUGGGAAGAAGGCCUUCGGGUUGUAAAGCACUUUUGUACGGAAAGAAAUAAUUGGCUCUAAUAAAGUCGGGGGAUGACGGUAACGGAAGAAUAAGCAACGGCUAACUACGUG
rnacentral:rRNA from 1 species